CACUCCUGCGGGAGGCAGCAGUGGGGAAUUUUGGACAAUGGGCGAAAGCCUGAUCCAGCCAUGCCGCGUGCAGGAUGAAGGCCUUCGGGUUGUAAACUGCUUUUGUACGGAACGAAACGGCCUUUUCUAAUAAAGAGGGCUAAUGACGGUACCGUAAGAAUAAGCACCGGCUAACUACGUGCCAGCAGCCGCGGUAAUACGUAGGGUGCAAGCGUUAAUCGGAAUUACUGGGCGUAAAGCGUGCGCAGGCGGUUAUGUAAGACAGUUGUGAAAUCCCCGGGCUCAACCUGGGAACUGCAUCUGUGACUGCAUAGCUAGAGUACGGUAGAGGGGGAUGGAAUUCCGCGUGUAGCAGUGAAAUGCGUAGAUAUGCGGAGGAACACCGAUGGCGAAGGCAAUCCCCUGGACCUGUACUGACGCUCAUGCACGAAAGCGUGGGGAGCAAACAGGAUUAGAUACCCUUGUAGUCCCAUG
rnacentral:rRNA from 1 species